AGAGUUUGAUCCUGGCUCAGGAUGAACGCUGGCGGCGUGCUUAACACAUGCAAGUCGAACGAUCCUUCGGGAUAGUGGCGGACGGGUGAGUAACGCGUGGGAAUCUGCCCUUAGGAGGGGGAUAACGGCUGGAAACGGCCGCUAAUACCCCAUAUGCCGAGAGGUGAAACGAAUUUCGCCUGAGGAUGAGCCCGCGUCUGAUUAGCUAGUUGGUGGGGUAAAGGCCUACCAAGGCGACGAUCAGUAGCUGGUCUGAGAGGAUGAUCAGCCACACUGGGACUGAGACACGGCCCAGACUCCUACGGGAGGCAGCAGUGGGGAAUUUUCCGCAAUGGGCGAAAGCCUGACGGAGCAACGCCGCGUGAGGGAUGAAGGCCUCUGGGCUGUAAACCUCUUUUCUCAAGGAAGAAGAACUGACGGUACUUGAGGAAUAAGCCACGGCUAAUUCCGUGCCAGCAGCCGCGGUAAUACGGGAGUGGCAAGCGUUAUCCGGAAUUAUUGGGCGUAAAGCGUCCGCAGGCGGCCUUGUAAGUCUGUUGUUAAAGCGUGGAGCUCAACUCCAUUUAAGCAAUGGAAACUACAAGGCUGGAGUGUGGUAGGGGCAGAGGGAAUUCCCGGUGUAGCGGUGAAAUGCGUAGAUAUCGGGAAGAACACCAGUGGCGAAGGCGCUCUGCUGGGCCAUAACUGACGCUCAUGGACGAAAGCCAGGGGAGCGAAAGGGAUUAGAUACCCCUGUAGUCCUGGCCGUAAACGAUGAACACUAGGUGUCGGGGGAAUCGACCCCCUCGGUGUCGUAGCCAACGCGUUAAGUGUUCCGCCUGGGGAGUACGCACGCAAGUGUGAAACUCAAAGGAAUUGACGGGGGCCCGCACAAGCGGUGGAGUAUGUGGUUUAAUUCGAUGCAACGCGAAGAACCUUACCAGGGUUUGACAUCCUGCGAAUCCCUUGGAAACGAGGGAGUGCCUUCGGGAGCGCAGUGACAGGUGGUGCAUGGCUGUCGUCAGCUCGUGUCGUGAGAUGUUGGGUUAAGUCCCGCAACGAGCGCAACCCACGUCUUUAGUUGCCAGCAUUCAGUUGGGCACUCUAGAGAUACCGCCGGUGAUAAACCGGAGGAAGGUGUGGAUGACGUCAAGUCAUCAUGCCCCUUACAUCCUGGGCUACACACGUACUACAAUGCUACGGACAAAGGGCAGCAAGCUCGCGAGAGUUAGCAAAUCCCAUAAACCGUGGCUCAGUUCAGAUCGUAGGCUGCAACUCGCCUACGUGAAGGAGGAAUCGCUAGUAAUCGCAGGUCAGCAUACUGCGGUGAAUACGUUCCCGGGCCUUGUACACACCGCCCGUCACACCAUGGAAGUUGGCCAUGCCCGAAGUCGC
rnacentral:rRNA from 1 species